GGNGAANAUUUCACAANNGGGCGCANNNCNGAUGNNNANNANCNCCGNGNNCGGNAGACGCUCUNCGGGUUGUAAACCGCUUUUAGUAAGGAAGAAGGGGAGCUUGCUCCUUGACGGUACUUGCAGAAAAAGGACCGGCUAACUACGUGCCAGCAGCCGCGGUAAUACGUAGGGUCCGAGCGUUGUCCGGAAUUAUUGGGCGUAAAGAGCUCGUAGGCGGUUUGUCGCCGUCUGCUGUGAAAUCCCGAGGCUCAACCUCGGGCCUGCAGUGGGUACGGGCAGACUGGAGUGCGGUAGGGGAGAAUGGAAUUCCUGGUGUAGCGGUGGAAUGCGCAGAUAUCAGGAGGAACACCGAUGGCGAAGGCAGUUCUCUGGGCCGUAACUGACGCUGAGGAGCGAAAGCGUGGGGAGCGAACAGGAUUAGAUACCCUGGUAGUCCACGCCGUAAACGUUGGGCGCUAGAUGUGGGGACCUUUCCACGGUUUCCGUGUCGUAGCUAACGCAUUAAGCGCCCCGCCUGGGGAGUACGGCCGCAAGGCUAAAACUCAAAGGAAUNGACGG
rnacentral:rRNA from 1 species